rnacentral:rRNA from 1 species
GAUGAACGCUGGCGGCGUGCCUAAUACAUGCAAGUCGAGCGAACAGACGAGGAGCUUGCUCCUCUGACGUUAGCGGCGGACGGGUGAGUAACACGUGGAUAACCUACCUAUAAGACUGGGAUAACUUCGGGAAACCGGAGCUAGUACCGGAUAAUAUAUUGAACCGCAUGGUUCAAUAGUGAAAGACGGCUUUGCUGUCACUUAUAGAUGGAUCCGCGCCGCAUUAGCUAGUUGGUAAGGUAACGGCUUACCAAGGCGACGAUGCGUAGCCGACCUGAGAGGGUGAUCGGCCACACUGGAACUGAGACACGGUCCAGACUCCUACGGGAGGCAGCAGUAGGGAAUCUUCCGCAAUGGGCGAAAGCCUGACGGAGCAACGCCGCGUGAGUGAUGAAGGUCUUCGGAUCGUAAAACUCUGUUAUUAGGGAAGAACAAAUGUGUAAGUAACUAUGCACGUCUUGACGGUACCUAAUCAGAAAGCCACGGCUAACUACGUG